rnacentral:RNase_P_RNA from 1 species
CCGGUCCGGCCGGGUGGCCGCCGCGAGACUGCAAGGUCUCGGGGAGGAAAGUCCGGGCUCCACCGGACAGGGUGCUGGGUAACGCCCAGGCUCCGAGGCGUUCGCGCCAAGGGGACGGAAAGUGGCACAGAAACAUACCGCCGUCGGCUGCCUAGCAGCAGCGGUAAGGGUGAAAUCGGGCGGUAAGAGCGCCCGGCCACGUGCGGCGACGCACUGGCGGCCAAACCCCACCUGGAGCAAGGCCAAAUAGGGGAACCAUGGGCGUCCGGCCCGUUCCCGGGUUGGCUGCUUGACCCCAGCGGCAACGCUGGGGCUAGAUAGAUGGUCACCGUCCGCCGAGAGGCGGUUACAGAACCCGGCUUACAGGCCGCCCGGCGUU